AUUUUUGGUGAUUUUGGGGUGAAAUUCCCCCAUUUCUUUUCUCCUGGUUUUGGGUGAAAUUCCCCCAUUUUUGGGUGAAUUUUCCCCGUUUUUCUCCCAUUUUUCGCUGAAAUUCCCCCGUUCCGGGUCCCCUCUGUGCGUUUCUGCCCCAUUUCCGCCCAAUUUCCCCCAUUUUUUGGCUGAAAUUCCCCAUUUUUGCCCGUUUUCCCCCAUUCCAGGCUCCGCUGGGAGGAGUCGAUGCUGCAGCGCCUUGGCGCCCCCUGGCGGCCGCGGCGCCCGCGGGGGGCGGGGCCUGGCCUCGAUGACGUCACCAACUUCGGGGCUUUCCCCGCCCUCCUGGGAUCGGCCAAUCAGGAUUCGUCGGAGCCGCCGCCGAAAAAGAAGAAAAAA